rnacentral:rRNA from 1 species
GACGAACGCUGGCGGCGUGCUUAACACAUGCAAGUCGAACGGAAAGGCCCUGCUUUUGUGGGGUGCUCGAGUGGCGAACGGGUGAGUAACACGUGAGUAACCUGCCCUUGACUUUGGGAUAACUUCAGGAAACUGGGGCUAAUACCGGAUAGGAGCUCCUGCUGCAUGGUGGGGGUUGGAAAGUUUCGGCGGUUGGGGAUGGACUCGCGGCUUAUCAGCUUGUUGGUGGGGUAGUGGCUUACCAAGGCUUUGACGGGUAGCCGGCCUGAGAGGGUGACCGGACACAUUGGGACUGAGAUACGGCCCAGACGCCUACGGGAGGCAGCAGUGGGGAAUAUUGCACAAGGGGCGGAAGCCUGAUGCAGCAACGCCGCGUGCGGGAUGACGGCCUUCGGGUUGUAAACCGCUUUCGCCUGUGACGAAGCGUGAGUGACGGUAAUGGGUAAAGAAGCACCGGCUAACUACGUG